AUUGUGAUUUUAAAAAAAGCUUUUAUUUGUAUAUCUCAUUACAACGUAACAAUGUUGAAAGACGACAGUAUGAAAUUGACAAGAGUGAAUUUAAAAUCUGAAAGCUCAACACCAUAAUUUUGACAAAUAUUCAUUUCUCCUCUAAUGUGCUGACUUGGUAAACAGUAUAACACAUACACUAUAAGAAAGAAAUAAAAGCGUGAAGAAUGGAAAGAUGUAGAAGUCUUAACAAAUAAACUCCUUAACAAACAUCUUUCAACAAUGAAUAUGCUAAAUUAACCUUUUUUUUUUUUACAUUACAAAUCUACUAAUUAUCUUUUAUAUUAGUUUUUAUUGCGCUGAAAAAAAAUGCCAUGAAAUGGACUUUGCUAACCAUCAACAAAACCGUAAAUCAUACAUGAAAUAAAGUAUCUGGUCCACUUAGAAUAACAAUACAGAAUCGUAAAUGAAGUCAACAUAACAUACUCCACUCGUACCCACAAUUUAUCCAUGACUAUAUGAAUUACGAUUUUAAGUUUAUUUUUUUUUUUUUACGAUUUAUUUUAAACUUAUAAAUAGUAUUGUAUACCUAUCAUCCGCUACAAUGUUCAAAGUGAAGCUUUUUAUAGGCUUUGAAGCUAAUUUAUACGUUAAAUGGUAAGGUUAGAGGUUGUACGAAGGAAUGAACUGAAUGUGUAAAACAAACAUCAAUCAAAAUUCAUGUAAUAAAUAAAACAGCCGCAUUACAAUGCUCUUCUACUCCCAACACAAUAUUUCUGGUCCUCAAAUUCUAUAAGUUCUCUUUUUGUUUGUGUGUGUCUAUUUCAUCAUUCAAUUGAAGGGCCGGCAACUCUCUAAUGUAGCCUAUGCAUAA